CCGCUCCCAGCCGCGGGCCUGCGGGGCUGCCGGUUCUAAUCUCAGGCACGUUGGACCUCGUUCGGACGCAGAAAUUGUUUCCCUCCCGCCUGAGGCGGAUGGCUCUCAGGGUCGACGCAGCGCGGGACUGGAGGCAGAAACAGACCCGAGGACAAGGCUGAGGUUCCAGGGUCUCCCGUACUGUGUUGUAAAGGAACGUUGAUACCAGGCAUUCUUCACCUACGCAGGAUUGGUUCUACAGUUGCUCCGGUAAUCAUUUUGCUGUGGUUUUCAGUGGACGGCCUUUGUGGAGUUAAUAAAGUGAUUUUGAACAUUGA